rnacentral:rRNA from 1 species
CAGUCGCCGCGGUAAUACGAAGGGUGCAAGCGUUAAUCGGAAUUACUGGGCGUAAAGCGUGCGUAGGCGGUUUGUUAAGUCUGUUGUGAAAUCCCCGGGCUCAACCUGGGAAUGGCAAUGGAUACUGGCAAGCUAGAGUGUGUCAGAGGAUGGUGGAAUUCCCGGUGUAGCGGUGAAAUGCGUAGAGAUCAGGAGGAACAUCAGUGGCGAAGGCGGCCAUCUGGGACAACACUGACGCUGAGGCACGAAAGCGUGGGGAGCAAACAGGAUUAGAUACCCCCGUAGUCCCUGUCUCUUAUAC